UUUCUUUUUUCUUUUUUUUUUUUUUCUAAGAGAUAGGUAGCACGCUAUCCGCUUCGUUUAUUUCAUUUAGAAAUAAACUUAGCUAGAAAUGUGAAUCAACUAGGAUUCGAACUUGAGUCUCAGGUACCAACCACCAAGCCCUUUGCCACUUGCUCUAGGGACGGUCGAUAUUCGACCUACCUACUUGAAAGCACCCAGUAUAAACCCAAGAAACUUGGAGUUGGCAACUAUCCGAUAUCUUAUCAUUUCUUUCACUAAGGCUUCAUUUGGUUCAUGUAUAAGUAAAAACUGCUUAUUCUAAGGAUAGGAAUAAGUUCAGGUAUAAACAAAAACUAAACCAAUUUUGCGUUUAGAUAAAAUUUGAAUUGUUCCCGGGUAUAAGAAAAAUAACGUUUGGAUGAAAAUUGGUUUGUUCCCGGGAAUAAGAAAAAUAGUAUUUGGAUAGAUAAGAUAGAAUAAGAAAAAUAGUUGGUAGUUAUAAAUAAAAAAAUAAUGAUAUUACUCCUCUCACUAAAUUUGAAUUUGAAAAAUUAAAAUUUAAAUUUUAAAUUUUAAAUUCAAAUUUAAAAUUUAAAUUUAAAUUUAAGAUCAAAUUUAAAUUUAAAAAAUACAAAAUAUCAAAUUUUAAAUUAAAAAUAUAUAAAAUAUCAAAUUUUAAAUUUUAAAUUUUAAAAAUCUAAGAUUUGAAAUUUAGAAUUUAAAAAAUUAUAAAUUUUAAUUUUGAAAUUAAAAUUAUAAAUUUUGUAAUAAACUUAAAAUUAUCUCUCUCUCUCCCCCCAAGCUUGUUCCAAGGGGUGGAAAUUAUUGUUCCCACCAAAAUUUUUUUUUGUUUAGAUAUAAGAGGGGAAUAAGAAUUUUUUCCUCUCCUUAUAUUGCUAUCAA
rnacentral:lncRNA from 1 species